rnacentral:tRNA from 1 species
GUCGACUUUAAAAAUCGUGAGGGUUCAAGUCCCUCUAUCCCCAAAAAGG